rnacentral:rRNA from 1 species
GGAAGUAAAAGUCGUAACAAGGUUUCCGUAGGUGAACCUGCGGAAGGAUCAUUACCGAGUUUUCGGGCUUCGGCUCGACUCUCCCACCCUUUGUGAACGUACCUCUGUUGCUUUGGCGGCUUCGGCCGCCAAAGGACCUUCAAACUCCAGUCAGUAAACGCAGACGUCUGAUAAACAAGUUAAUAAACUAAAACUUUCAACAACGGAUCUCUUGGUUCUGGCAUCGAUGAAGAACGCAGCGAAAUGCGAUAAGUAAUGUGAAUUGCAGAAUUCAGUGAAUCAUCGAAUCUUUGAACGCACAUUGCGCCCCUUGGUAUUCCGGGGGGCAUGCCUGUUCGAGCGUCAUUACAACCCUCAAGCUCUGCUUGGAAUUGGGCACCGUCCUCACUGCGGACGCGCCUCAAAGACCUCGGCGGUGGCUGUUCAGCCCUCAAGCGUAGUAGAAUACACCUCGCUUUGGAGCGGUUGGCGUCGCCCGCCGGACGAACCUUCUGAACUUUUCUCAAGGUUGACCUCGGAUCAGGUAGGGAUACCCGCUGAACUUAAGCAUAUCAAUAAGCGGAGGA